GGUUAAGCGACUAAGCGUACACGGUGGAUGCCUAGGCAGUCAGAGGCGAUGAAGGGCGUGCUAAUCUGCGAAAAGCGUCGGUAAGCUGAUAUGAAGCGUUAUAACCGACGAUACCCGAAUGGGGAAACCCAGUGCAAUACGUUGCACUAUCGUUAGAUGAAUACAUAGUCUAACGAGGCGAACCGGGGGAACUGAAACAUCUAAGUACCCCGAGGAAAAGAAAUCAACCGAGAUUCCCCCAGUAGCGGCGAGCGAACGGGGAGGAGCCCAGAGUCUGAAUCAGUUUGUGUGUUAGUGGAAGCGUCUGGAAAGUCGCACGGUACAGGGUGAUAGUCCCGUACACCAAAAUGCACAGGCUGUGAACUCGAUGAGUAGGGCGGGACACGUGACAUCCUGUCUGAAUAUGGGGGGACCAUCCUCCAAGGCUAAAUACUCCUGACUGACCGAUAGUGAACCAGUACCGUGAGGGAAAGGCGAAAAGAACCCCGGCGAGGGGAGUGAAAUAGAACCUGAAACCGUGUACGUACAAGCAGUGGGAGCACCUUCGUGGUGUGACUGCGUACCUUUUGUAUAAUGGGUCAGCGACUUAUAUUUUGUAGCAAGGUUAACCGAAUAGGGGAGCCGUAGGGAAACCGAGUCUUAACUAGGCGUCUAGUUGCAAGGUAUAGACCCGAAACCCGGUGAUCUAGCCAUGGGCAGGUUGAAGGUUGGGUAACACUAACUGGAGGACCGAACCGACUAAUGUUGAAAAAUUAGCGGAUGACUUGUGGCUGGGGGUGAAAGGCCAAUCAAACCGGGAGAUAGCUGGUUCUCCCCGAAAGCUAUUUAGGUAGCGCCUCGUGAACUCAUCUUCGGGGGUAGAGCACUGUUUCGGCUAGGGGGCCAUCCCGGCUUACCAAACCGAUGCAAACUCCGAAUACCGAAGAAUGUUAUCACGGGAGACACACGGCGGGUGCUAACGUCCGUCGUGAAGAGGGAAACAACCCAGACCGCCAGCUAAGGUCCCAAAGUCAUGGUUAAGUGGGAAACGAUGUGGGAAGGCACAGACAGCCAGGAUGUUGGCUUAGAAGCAGCCAUCAUUUAAAGAAAGCGUAAUAGCUCACUGGUCGAGUCGGCCUGCGCGGAAGAUGUAACGGGGCUAAACCAUGCACCGAAGCUGCGGCAGCGACACUUAGGUGUUGUUGGGUAGGGGAGCGUUCUGUAAGCCGUUGAAGGUGACCUGUGAGGGUUGCUGGAGGUAUCAGAAGUGCGAAUGCUGACAUAAGUAACGAUAAUGCGGGUGAAAAACCCGCACGCCGGAAGACCAAGGGUUCCUGUCCAACGUUAAUCGGGGCAGGGUGAGUCGACCCCUAAGGCGAGGCUGAAAAGCGUAGUCGAUGGGAAACAGGUUAAUAUUCCUGUACUUGGUGUUACUGCGAAGGGGGGACGGAGAAGGCUAGGCUGGCCGGGCGACGGUUGUCCCGGUUUAAGCGUGUAGGGGGAGUGACCAGGUAAAUCCGGUUGCUUAUCAACCCUGAGGCGUGAUGACGAUGCACCACGGUGCAGAAGCAGUUGAUGCCAUGCUUCCAGGAAAAGCCUCUAAGCAUCAGGUAACAUUAAAUCGUACCCCAAACCGACACAGGUGGUCAGGUAGAGAAUACUCAGGCGCUUGAGAGAACUCGGGUGAAGGAACUAGGCAAAAUGGUGCCGUAACUUCGGGAGAAGGCACGCUGGCGUUAGGUGAAAGGACUAGCUCCUGGAGCUGAAGCCAGUCGCAGAUACCAGCUGGCUGCAACUGUUUAAUAAAAACACAGCACUGUGCAAACACGAAAGUGGACGUAUACGGUGUGACGCCUGCCCGGUGCUGGAAGGUUAAUUGAUGGGGUCAGCCGCAAGGCGAAGCUCUUGAUCGAAGCCCCAGUAAACGGCGGCCGUAACUAUAACGGUCCUAAGGUAGCGAAAUUCCUUGUCGGGUAAGUUCCGACCUGCACGAAUGGCGUAAUGAUGGCCAGGCUGUCUCCACCCGAGACUCAGUGAAAUUGAACUCGCUGUGAAGAUGCAGUGUACCCGCGGCAAGACGGAAAGACCCCGUGAACCUUUACUAUAGCUUGACACUGAACAUUGAGCCUUGAUGUGUAGGAUAGGUGGGAGGCCUUGAAGUGUGGACGCCAGUCUGCAUGGAGCCAACCUUGAAAUACCACCCUUUAAUGUUUGAUGUUCUAACUCGGCCCCAUGAUCUGGGGUGAGGACAGUGUCUGGUGGGUAGUUUGACUGGGGCGGUCUCCUCCCAAAGAGUAACGGAGGAGCACGAAGGUUAGCUAAUCACGGUCGGACAUCGUGAGGUUAGUGCAAAGGCAUAAGCUAGCUUGACUGCGAGAGUGACGGCUCGAGCAGGUACGAAAGUAGGUCUUAGUGAUCCGGUGGUUCUGAAUGGAAGGGCCAUCGCUCAACGGAUAAAAGGUACUCCGGGGAUAACAGGCUGAUACCGCCCAAGAGUUCAUAUCGACGGCGGUGUUUGGCACCUCGAUGUCGGCUCAUCACAUCCUGGGGCUGAAGUAGGUCCCAAGGGUAUGGCUGUUCGCCAUUUAAAGUGGUACGCGAGCUGGGUUUAGAACGUCGUGAGACAGUUCGGUCCCUAUCUGCCGUGGGCGUUGGAAGAUUGAGAGGGGCUGCUCCUAGUACGAGAGGACCGGAGUGGACGAAUCACUGGUGUUCGGGUUGUCAUGCCAAUGGCAUUGCCCGGUAGCUAAAUUCGGAAGAGAUAACCGCUGAAAGCAUCUAAGCGGGAAACUUGCCUCGAGAUGAGUCUUCCCUGGGGCUUAAAGCCCCCUGAAGGAACGUUAAAGACUAUGACGUUGAUAGGCUGGGUGUGUAAGUGCAGCGAUGUAUUGAGCUAACCAGUACUAAUGAUCCGUGAGGCUUAACCUU
rnacentral:rRNA from 3 species